rnacentral:rRNA from 1 species
GCUGGUGGGUGGCGGCGUGCUAUACAUGCAAGUCGAGCGAAUGGAUUAAGAGCUUGCUCUUAUGAAGUUAGCGGCGGACGGGUGAGUAACACGUGGGUAACCUGCCCAUAAGACUGGGAUAACUCCGGGAAACCGGGGCUAAUACCGGAUAACAUUUUGAACCGCAUGGUUCGAAAUUGAAAGGCGGCUUCGGCUGUCACUUAUGGAUGGACCCGCGUCGCAUUAGCUAGUUGGUGAGGUAACGGCUCACCAAGGCAACGAUGCGUAGCCGACCUGAGAGGGUGAUCGGCCACACUGGGACUGAGACACGGCCCAGACUCCUACGGGAGGCAGCAGUAGGGAAUCUUCCGCAAUGGACGAAAGUCUGACGGAGCAACGCCGCGUGAGUGAUGAAGGCUUUCGGGUCGUAAAACUCUGUUGUUAGGGAAGAACAAGUGCUAGUUGAAUAAGCUGGCACCUUGACGGUACCUAACCAGAAAGCCACGGCUAACUACGUGCCAGCAGCCGCGGUAAUACGUAGGUGGCAAGCGUUAUCCGGAAUUAUUGGGCGUAAAGCGCGCGCAGGUGGUUUCUUAAGUCUGAUGUGAAAGCCCACGGCUCAACCGUGGAGGGUCAUUGGAAACUGGGAGACUUGAGUGCAGAAGAGGAAAGUGGAAUUCCAUGUGUAGCGGUGAAAUGCGUAGAGAUAUGGAGGAACACCAGUGGCGAAGGCGACUUUCUGGUCUGUAACUGACACUGAGGCGCGAAAGCGUG